rnacentral:lncRNA from 1 species
UGCCGUACUCAGCAGCGGCCCACAGGCCCACAAAGGUGCCUCUGAUGGGGCUGCUGAGGGCAGCCGCCUCGCCAUGGCUGCUUCUUAAUGGAGCCCAGGCCUACAGGAAAUCCACCUGGGCUGCUGCUACCACCACUGCUGCCUUAGGAAGAAGGGCCCCACCCAGGCCCACAGCCACCUCCUCUGCCACAUGACUUACACCGCCUGCCUCCUCCUCCGCGUGCCAGAGCCCUCAGCAGCCACUAAUUGAAUCCAGAGCCUCGCGUGGCCAGGCCCGACUCUAUGUUGACAUCAACACCCCAAGCCUCUGGGCCUGGCUGUGCUUCCUUCUUACUGCUGGGGUGAGGCUAGGGACCAGGGCUGUGACCUGUGGGUGGACACUGUGUGGGGCCUCUGGGAGGCUUGCUCCAGCUUUUGCUGGGCUCCUCACUGCCCUGGGACCCACUGCCCCUCGCCCUCUGAGGGUAACAGGAAGAGAUGAUGUACAUCCGUCACUGUCCC